rnacentral:snRNA from 1 species
GUGCCUGGCUCCCUGUAUGC